rnacentral:lncRNA from 1 species
UAGGGCGGUUUUAUGCUGAGAUUUUUUUUUUUUUUGGUACCACCUUCACAUUGACUGUUAGAACUUUGUAGAAUUACACUGGGAAGUAUAAAAAUCUAUUUCCAUAUUUCUACAUUUCUGGAAACUCCCAGUCUAUAAUCCAAGGAAUGUGAUAUUACAUAAAACUGUGACACUCUUACAUUAUUGUCUACAGGACCUCUCUCUGAGUACAACUAGUGGUCAACUUAAGUACAGUCACAGACUGGAGAAGAUCCUGUGGCCAUGUGGCACCUCCCAUUUGUCUACUUAAAAGUCACAGCUAUAUCACUCAGUGUUUUGUAGAUAAUCUAUAUUAAAGAAGAAGUCUUCUGUGGACAUUGCCCUGCACAUACAUUUUUGUUUUGAAAGAUAUGUAUCUAUACAAAAAGUUAGAGAAUACUUCUUGCCUUCCUUUUAAAAAUACAGUGUAAGUGUGGACAGUUGUUAUUAAAACUUCAAAAUGUGUAUGUGUAAGAUCUAAAAUACUGAGAUCAGCAUAGCUAGGUGGUCCUCUUUAGAAGCUGGAUAUGAGAAGUAGGGAGGAAAGGGAGGCUGUGGUGGCAGGAAGCCACGGGGUCUUUCACUGGGCACCAUCAAUUUUGCUUUCCUUUGCUGGUGGUAUUCUUAGUCUUCCCCAGGCUUACUUCACGUCUCUCACCAGUGUUUGUUUUCCUUCCUUGUCUUCCCACCUUCCACUCAAAUCUGGAAUGAUAUUGGCCAUGUGAUCACAGGCCCAUGACGGAAGCUCAUUCCCUCUGGCUUUUUCAUGAUGGUGAGAAGAGAAAUAGAUAUUUCUCGGCUGUGUGAGUCAGUGCUAAAUCCUUCCUAGCAGAGUUAACUCAGCCCAUCAGCUCCUGCAAAGGAAGCAUAAUUCCUCAUUGUGGGGACAGUCUCUGGUCACUGUCCCGCCUUCAUCUCGACUGACAUCUUGAUGUAAGCAUUGCACUUUGUACGCAAAGAUUGGACUUCUGUUUCUAAAUCUGUCCUUCUCCUGCUCCUUUGCUGCUCUACAGUGUUAAGAUGCAUUUUCUGGAAGCUCUUAAACGUCCUCGUCAUAUCUUGUAUGCUCUUAUUUCCACAGCAGUUCCGAUUGUCAGAAUAUAUGUCUUUGCGUGUCCACUCAGUCAGUUUCUCUGGAAAAAUAUCAUUUUUAAAGAAUGAAACUAAACCAACAAAUUUACAUACACGGGCUGGACCUAGGUCCCCAGCACAUAUCUAGCAAAUGUGCAGCUUGCUCUUUAUGUGGGUCCUGAACAACCAGAGCAGGGGUUGUCCCAAAAGCUAUUCCCUGUACGUGGGAUUUGUUCAUCUAGCUGACUGCCUUGUCUGGCCUCAAUGGGAGAGGAAACACCUAGCUUCACAGAGACUUGAAGUCCUGGGUGGGAGGAUGCACAGGGAAACUCCCACUGGCUCAGCGAAGAAGGGGAGGGAGAUGGAGGAAGGACUUUGGGAGGAGGUGACCAGGAGUGGUCAGUGAGAAAAAUGUUAAAAAACAAAACAAAACAAAACAAAACAAAACAACAACAACCCCCCCAAACCCAUUAAAUU